CCCAAACCAAUAAAGUUUUCUUUAUUGGGGUUGCGGACAUAUCAUAACGAAGAGGUAUCGUAAUUGAAGAGGUUUGGAAAGACCCACCACAGUAGGUAAUAGUCCUGUAUGUUAAACGAGAAGACUUUAGAUAUGUUCCAGAGUACCACGGGCCACGUGAAACCCUGUGGGAAGCAGGAGGGACCACCCGCCAAGGCUAAAUACUACCUAGUGACCGAUAGCGUAUAGUACCGUGAGGGAAAGGUGAAAAGAACCCCGGGAGGGGAGUGAAAUAGAACCUGAAACCCUGCACUUACAAGCUGUGGAAGCACAUUUCUUGUGUGACCGCGUACUUUUUGUAGAACGGGCCAACGAGUUACGUUAAGUAGCAAGGUUAAGCACUUAAGGUGCGGAGCCGUAGCGAAAGCGAGUUUUAACUGAGCGUUCAGUUACUUGACGUAGACCCGAAACCGGGCGACCUACCCAUGAGCAGGAUGAAGCGAAAGGAAAAUUUCGUGGAGGUCCGAACCCACGAGCGUUGAAAAGCUCGGGGAUGACUUGUGGGUAGCGGUGAAAUUCCAAUCGAGCCCGGAGAUAGCUGGUUCUCCCCGAAAUAGCUUUAGGGCUAGCCUCAAGGUGAGAGAUACGGAGGUAGAGCACUGAAUGUCCUAGGGGGUAUUGCACCUACCGAAGACUAUCAAACUCCGAAUGCCGUCAUCUUAUACUUGGGAGUCAGACUGUGGGUGAUAAGAUUCAUAGUCGAAAGGGCAACAGCCCAGAUCGUCAGCUAAGGUCCCUAAAUGUAAGUUAAGUGGUAAAGGAUGUGGGAUUGCACAGACAACCAGGAUGUUGGCUUAGAAGCAGCCACUCAUUCAAAGAGUGCGUAAUAGCUCACUGGUCGAGUGAUCCUGCGCCGAAGAUUUCCGGGGCUAAAACUUACUACCGAAGCUACGGCAUCAGUAAUGAUGGGUAGGGGAGCUUCCCAUACGGGUUGAAGCAUGACCGUAAGGACAUGUGAACAGUAUGGGAGUGAGAAUGUUGGCAUGAGUAGCGAGAUGUGGGUG
rnacentral:rRNA from 1 species